UACGUAGGGACCAAGCGUUGUUCGGAUUUACUGGGCGUAAAGGGCGCGUAGGCGGCGUGGUAAGUCACUUGUGAAAUCUCCGAGCUUAACUCGGAACGGUCAAGUGAUACUGCUGUGCUAGAGUGCAGAAGGGGCAAUCGGAAUUCUUGGUGUAGCGGUGAAAUGCGUAGAUAUCAAGAGGAACACCUGAGGUGAAGACGGAUUGCUGGGCUGACACUGACGCUGAGGCGCGAAAGCUAGGGUAGCAAACGGG
rnacentral:rRNA from 1 species